rnacentral:tRNA from 1 species
GCUGGAAAGCUCAGUUGGUAGAGAGUGAGACUCUUAAAUCUUAGGGUCAUGGGUUCAAGCCCCAUGUUGGGCA